GUGUUGAUUCUAAGGAUACCCCCAAUAAACAUCUUUCGUGCUAAAGCCCAUUCCAGAAUUUACUUCCCAGCUAUCUUUGAUGUUCAUAUUGUCAGAGGUGGUGGCCGCUGAAACAGGCAAAGACAUGGAGCAUAUCUUGGGUCCAGGACCUUGGGAGUCCAGAGGAAGGUCUUUUUACCAUCAGCAUUCUCUACUGUGUUCAAUGACUGUCAGCCAAAGAUGGCCAGGUUCUCUACUGUGAUGGUGAAUUUUAUGUGUCAAUUUGACUGGACCAUGGGAUGCCCAGCUUUCCUUCAGAAAGAAAUGCAUUCAAAGAACCUACAUUCACAACAUAAAGAAAUAAAGCCUGCACCUACAGAUCUACACACAUGCCCAUGCACAUGCAGGAAGUGUUCAUCUAAGACUGGACCUUUUAGAAGAAAGCUGGCAUACAUUCGUGAAGGCAUGGGCUUCCAGGCAUGUCAUCUUCACUCACGAAGCACACACAAGACCGCCAAGCAUUAAGAUUCUCCUGUGGAGCCAGGCUACAAUCCUUUAAAUGAAGACAGACAGCUAGGUGGCUGCAGCCCAGCGCUACACCUCACCCCUCCCUCAGUGUCAUGCAGAAAAAAUGUAUUCAGAACUCAGAAGUGAAGUUGUGCAAAUCCAUCAUUGACACUAGCUUCAAGGUUACCUCGGGGGAGCAGAAUGUACCCCUGCCAGAGAGCUGGAUAGAUGAUGAUGGGGACAGAAAUUCUGGGGGAGUUGUAAAUGGCAGCCACUGCCUCUAUAGGAAACCCAAAGGGAACACAGCAGAAGAGGAGGUGGUGGAGGAGCCACUGCCCUCUCGAAGGGUUCAAUGUCAUUCUGCAGACACAACCAAAUAACUUUUUCUUCCCUGCUGCUCCUCCAUUUGAAAUGACAGCCCCGAGCUCGCUUUUUCCUUGAUUGUGUAACUCUGAUUACAGACAAGGCCAAGGCAAUCCCAGGGCAUUACUACAAAGCUAAGGGGUCCCCAAAGAACUAAAGAGUCAGCUCCACAAAAAUCCCGAUUCCUAGCAUGAAACUGAAAUAUGAAACCAAACGGGCAUAGAAAAGGUAUGUGCAUUCGAAUCACAUAGCAGUGACUGGAGUCCUGAGCUGUGUCUGAAGACUGUGAGAUCACGUUUGGAGCUGCUGAUUGGUUUUCAGUGAUGGCCCUGUUGCACAGUGCCGUGAGACUUAGCUCCAUGGCCAAAGACGAUGGUAUCCCCUAGGAGCCCUGUGAGGUUGCUGCUGUUCUCUUAAGACACCAGGUAGCCAUCUGAUCCUCCCUGAGCAAACUAACUGGGCAGACAGGUUUAUUAAACCUCUGUUGGUCCGACUUACAUGAAACAAGAGAGUUAUUUUGUUGUUGUUGUUUUGUUUUGUUUUAAAUUAAACCUGUCUUUGGAGCCUCCUG
rnacentral:lncRNA from 1 species